rnacentral:rRNA from 1 species
CCUACGGGAGGCAGCAGUGGGGAAUAUUGCACAAUGGGGGAAACCCUGAUGCAGCGACGCCGCGUGAGUGAAGAAGUAUCUGGGUAUGGAAAGCUCUAUCAGCAGGGAAGAAAAGGACGGUACCUGACUAAGAAGCCGCGGCUAACUACUUGCCAGCAGCCGUGGUAAUGCGCAGGGGGCAAGCGUUAUCCGGAUGUACUGGGUGUAAAGGGUGCGUAGGGGGCAGGGCAAGUCAGAUGUGAAAGCCCGGGGCUCAACCCCGGUACUGCAUUUGAAACUGUCCAGCUGGAGUGCAGGAGAGGUAAGCGGAAUUCCUAGUGUAGCGGUGAAAUGCGUAGAUAUUAGGAGGAACACCAGUGGCGAAGGCGGCUUACUGGACUGUAACUGACACUGAGGCACGAAAGCGUGGGGAGCAAACAGGAUUAGAUACCCUUGUAGUC